AGGAAUGGCAGCAUAGGCCUAUAAUCUCUGCUACUGAGAAGGCUGAGACAGGCAGAUCUUUUUGAGCGCUUGGUAAUUCUGAACUGCAGAGGGCUGACUAUGCUGAUUAGAUAUAUAAAAUGAGUUUAGUAUUAACAUGCUAAACCCCCUGGGAAUGGGCGGCUAUUAGGUUAUCUAAGGAGAGGCAAACUGGCCCAGAAUGGAAAUAGAGCAGGUCAAAACAAUUGAGCUGAUUGGCAUGGGACUCAGUCUGUGAGUGGUCCCUGUACUUCCAGCCUGGGCAAUAUAAAAAGGCCCAGCCUUU
rnacentral:SRP_RNA from 1 species